rnacentral:misc_RNA from 1 species
GAUGAAGAACGCAGCGAAAUGCGAUAAGUAGUGUGAAUUGCAGAAUUCAGUGAAUCAUCGAAUCUUUGAACGCACAUUGCGCCCCUUGGUAUUCCAUGGGGCAUGCCUGUUCGAGCGUCAUUUGUACCUUCAAGCUUUGCUUGGUGUUGGGUGUUUGUCCCUCGGGACUCGCCUUAAAGUCAUUGGCAGCCAGUGUUUUGGUUUUGAAGCGCAGCACAAGUCGCGAUUCGAGGCUAUCCGCCCGCUUCCACAAGCCUUUUUCACUUUUGACCUCGGAUCAGGUAGGGAUACCCGCUGAACUUAAGCAUAUCAAUAAGCGGAGGA